CCUGGCGGGGAGGGAUCGGGCGGGCGGUCUGUGGGGACCCUGGGCUGGGCUCUCUCGUGUGGGGCCGGCUCCCUGGGUCUGCUUCAGCUCCGCCGCCUGAGAGCCGGUGCCGGGGAAGCCGCGCUCCGUAGCCGAGGCUGUGGCGGGGAGGCGCGGGGAGGCUGGCGGAAACGGGUGCCUCCGUCUGAGGAGCGUUUCGGGUAGAAAUGGCUGCUCUCUGCCGUGUCGGGCUGCCGGCACGGAACUUCGGCUACGCUGGGCUGGGCACCGGCUGUGAGAUGGUUUGGCAUGCUGACCGAGAAACACCAGUUUACACUAUGAUCAAAUGUUAACACAGACAUUGAUUCCUACCAAAAUGGAAAAAAAAAAGGUAUCGAUAUAUGUAAUUUCAAAGUGAUAUUUAAAAAAUGUUCUGGAUUCCAUCCCAGAGUCUCAAAUAUCUUCAGAAAAGCUUUAGUAAUCCAAGCAGAUUGCAGAACUUUAAAAAAAACAACCAAACAACAACAAAAAAUCCUCUAUUUGGAUAUUCUGAAAAUUUUUUCCUUGUUCCAUUUAUGUUAAUUAAAAAGAUGUAACCAAGAGGAUCACUUGCAACAGACUGCAAUGUCAAAAAUAAUUGUUUCUUUGGAGCCUUGGUUGUCUUUUGGAUCCACGUCCAGGGAUCUUCAAUCUCUGCAGCUGAUUCCAGGGCUACCAGCAACACAAUAUGGAAUUUCAUUCUCUUUACACAGAAAACGUGUUCUGAUCCCCUUGGCUAACUUGCGUAUCGAAGGAAAACUGCUAAAAUCCUUCAUGCUAAAAACUGUGGAUAUUUAUGGGAACAAUUUUCACAUCCACCUUGCUUUUUUAUUCUGGAUAAAACACAGCAGCUAAUUCCAUGCAUUACUGGGAACCUCUUAAUAAAAAUUUACAGAGUCAAUAUAUAUCCAAAAUUACUGCCUCCGAAGUUGAACUGUAAGAGGUGUAUCAGGUAUGAAUCAAAGCCCAAAUGUCCUGACUUACCUGCUACAGCCAGAAAGUUGAUAUCUUUAGAAGAAUUGGCGAUGGGCAUUAGCCAGGAGCAUUUCUGGCAGCCUGUUACAGGGGGAUAAGAUAUUACAACUGCUCUGAAAUUACCGAGUGACUCUUGUAUUUCAGAAUGUUCAGAACUUUGUUUUAAAUAUAGCUUGUGAUAUCAGUCAGUGAGUCUUUAUUUCUGGACUAAUCAUUGCUUAGGGAGGAAUAUAUAUUGAUCAAAUAGUGGUAAAUUGAAAUCUUCCCUCCUUGAAAUGAAGGCUUGGAGCAAAGGAAAGACUCCUGUUUAGUUUUACUUCUUAGUCAAAACUUGACAAGGUGCAUUUCCAAGUUAAAAUGUGUUCUAGUAUAUUCAUAGGUGAUUUAAUGUAAAAUCACUGGAAGUUGCCCCCUCCUAGGGGGUUUUAAAUGUGCCAGUAGCAGUUCAUUGUGGGUUUGUUCAUUGUUUAUUAUAAUAAGAUGUACAUUACUUCAUGCUCA